GCAUACAAGUAGAACAAGAGAGCCUUUGCAUGAGUUUCUUGUCUUCGCACAACAUGUUAGACUUUGGUUUGCUGAAAAACUGCAGAACAAAUUAAACAAUCGACGUUAUAUAAAAUAGAGAUAUUGAAUAUUGAUUUAAUUACUCUCGCUUUGAUUUAUUGUAUUUAUAUCAAAUUUUUUUUUUUUGAUUAAAAAAGGGUUAAAUCCGGAUCUAUUAAAGACACAGACCUAACCCGAAAACAAUAGCCCAUAUCCGUGUGGCCAGCGGGGUUCGAACCAGGGUUCGCGGUAUAUCAAAUUAUUUCACAACUAGAAAAGCAACUUCUUUGUUUUAAAGAAACAUUUCUUACGAAUUAUCUUCUUUCUUUUUACUAAAUUUCUUACGAAUUAUCUCCGGCUAGAUAUUAAAACGGAGGCGCUGGGAGGAGCGGAUCUGACAUGGUGGAGGAAAGCGACGGAGCAGAGGACAGC
rnacentral:lncRNA from 1 species